AGUGUGACAGAGGCAACAGGAAUUCCUCGGUGUACCGGGUGAAAUGCGUAGAUAUCGGGAGGAACACCAGUGGCGAAAGCGUGUUGCUGGGUCAUAACUGACGCUGAAGAACGAAAGCCAGGGUAGCGAAAGGGAUUAGAUACCCCUGUAGUCCUGGCCGUAAACGAUGGACACUAGGUGUCGGGGGUAUCGACCCCCUCGGUGCCGAAGUUAACGCGAUAAGUGUCCCGCCUGGGGAGUACGGCCGCAAGGCUGAAACUCAAAGGAAUUGACGGGGGCCCGCACAAGCGGUGGAACAUGUGGUUUAAUUCGAUGCAACGCGAAGAACCUUACCUGGGCUUGACAUCUGAGGAAUCUUGCGGAAACGUGAGAGUGCCUUCGGGAACCUCAAGACAGGUGGUGCACGGUUGUCGUCAGCUCGUGUCGUGAGAUGUUGGGUUAAGUCCCGCAACGAGCGCAACCCUCGUUGUCUGUUGCUACAGAUGGAAACAUGCUGAGCACUCAGGCGAGACUGCCGGUGACAAACCGGAGGAGGGUGGGGAUGACGUCAAAUCAUCACGCCCCUUAUGUCCAGGGCUACACACGUGUUACAAUGGGGUGGUACAACGAGACGCCUGGCAGCAAUGUCCGGCAAAUCUCUCAAAACCACCCCCAGUUCGGAUCGGAGUCUGCAACUCGACUCCGUGAAGCAGGAAUCGCUAGUAAACGCAGAUCAGCACGCUGCGUUGAAUACGUUCCCGGGCCUUGUACACACCGCCCGUCACACCACGAAAGAAGGUCAUGCCCGAAGUCGGUGUGCUAACCCUCUGGGAGGCAGCCGCCGAAGGCAGGCUUUUGAUUGGG
rnacentral:rRNA from 1 species